rnacentral:rRNA from 1 species
UACGUAGGAGACGAGCGUUGUCCGGAAUUACUGGGCGUAAAGCGCGUGUAGGCGGAGGAGCAAGUCUGCUGUGAAAGCCCCUGGCUUAACCGGGGGUGGUCGGUGGAAACUGCUCGUCUGGAGGACGGUAGAGGUAGGUAGAAUUCCCGGUGUAGUGGUGAAAUGCUUAGAUAUGACAUAGAACACCAAUGGCGAAGGCAGCUGGCUACACGAAUAUUGACACUGAUGCACGAAAGCGUGGGGAUCAAACAGG